rnacentral:lncRNA from 1 species
GUGUGUGCAUGUGCAAAUAUGUGUUGCUGGCAGACAUGAUGCUGAAAUAUUAUAGCCAAGUCCAGGUUUGACCGCUGGCAUUUUGUUCUAACCAACUCAGUGGCCUUAGGGCAGACACUCUAACCACAAGGUUGGGAGUUCAAUCCCCUGCUGAAUCAUACCAAAGGGUGUAAAAAUGGAACCAGAUGCGUCUCUGUUUGGCACUCCGCAUUAAGGAGCUAGAUUGAAGGUAAGGCCAUGCGAUAGACUAGAGUCCUGUCCAGCAGGUCCAUCAAACUGCCUCAUGCUACAGAAACAAAAGAUCUGCUCCUCGGGCAAGGCUACUUACUAAAUGUGUUCUGAAUCCUGUAAAACAGUCCAAUAGCACCACCGACAGUCUUAGCACUCCUUUCCAUGAACAUCAAACUCCAGGUGCCAAGCAGGGCACAAACAUGUUCCGGUAUUAUCUGUAUAUUGCUUGUGUUACUGUCUGGUAGCUGUGGGUGGUGAGGUGAUUUGCAUUCAUAUCAGUGUUUAUAUCAGCCACAGUGUACAAUACCUUUCUGUAGAGACGCUCACUUACUCCUCAUCCAGGGAACUCCGUGCAUGACCAGAGAUCCAGCACAAGAGAUGGUACUAAUGAAGGCGAGGACAGGGACAGGCUUGUAUUCACUUGCGUGCCUUCUCAUGAUCAGUAGUGUCUGUUCUACCUGUGUUCCCUUUAUGUGUCUAAGGUGCAACUUAACCCACUCACCUGGAAUAUCUGCCACGGGAUUACUAGACAAGGCCAUGUGUGACACCCUGUGCUCAGACACUCACCAAUGCUUCAAUGCUACUGUUCAACAGCAGUGCUCAAAAGAUUUUAAAGUGCUACUGAACACCAGUUCUGGGUUCAAAGUGGUGGAGGGUGCUGACCUCAUCAUUGAGUGUGCCCAUAACCUGCCGGUGGAACCAAAAAUCCCGCUGGUGUUUGUCUGGCUGAUGGAUGGCGUCUCCCUGACGGGCGAGAACAGUAGCCAGCUCACCGUGAAGAAGGUCGGCAUAGCUACCUCUGGCAAGAAUAAAUACGCCUGCACCAUCCAGAGUCCCUGUGGCAACUUCACCUCAGAUCCAAAGGAGAUUGAAUUUGAAGACACGACGCUGUUGGUCAUAGUGAUCUGUGGUGUGUCUGCUGUGGUGCUGAUCCUGGCCAUGGGUAUAGGCAUGAAGAUCAUGCUGAAGAAGGAAUUUGCAAAGACCAAGAACAGGAGGCAGCAGAAUGCUCAGAACCUACAGAGAACUACCACAACAGAGUAGUGUUUCAUUUUCUGCAAAUUCCACCAAAUGUCCUUCAUGCGAAAAUGGCAAAAAUCUGACAUGAUUACACUGUGAAUGGAGAAAUAUGUAGCUAACAAUUUAUAGUUGUAUUUGCUGCAAUUUAAUCAACAUAACACUGACGUUGAGAUAAUUUUAUGAUGGAAGAGCCACAGAUGCAUAUGUUAAUCCUCUGGCAGUGACACACAGCUAGUUUGGAGAUUUGUCCCAAUAAAUAAUAUGCCAAAUUCAUGAUAUUUAAUAAUAAACAUUUACAUGUGGAUGAUGUUUCUAUUUAUAUAAUGAAUGGGGCCUAACAUAAGUGUCCAGAGGCUGCGUGUAGCCUACACAUGAUAGUCAGCAGUUACAUUUAUAGAAGCCAGGUAAGUAGGCUAAGUGAUGUUUUCUAUUGGGUACUUUAUGUAGAGUAGCCUAAAAAUAGUAAAAUAAUAAAUAAAAUAGCUGCUAGCGUUGUGACGACGUCAAUAAUGAAUGACGCAAGAGUUGUCCAGUUCCUGCAGCUAUCCCCACUUCACAUUAGUGCAGCAUAGAACUCAUAUAUUACUGAGCCCGAGUAGCCGUCAUUUUUUUUCUCUGCCAUCUGGAAGGUGCUUGGUUGAGAAAUCUAUGGCUACUGACCAGAUCAACAUGCCUACAUUCUCAGCAAUCUACACACAAUACCCCAUAAUGACAAAGCG